ACUCCUACGGGAGGCAGCAGUGGGGAAUAUUGCACAAUGGGCGCAAGCCUGAUGCAGCCAUGCCGCGUGUAUGAAGAAGGCCUUCGGGUUGUAAAGUACUUUCAGCAGUGAGGAAGGUGAUGCGUUAAUUAAGCGUAUUCAUUGAUCGUUUAGCUUGCAGAAGAAGACACCGGCGUAACUCCGUGCCAGCAGCCGCGGUAAUACGGAGGGUGCGAGCGUUAAUCGGAAUUACUGGGCGUAAAGCGCAUGCAGGUGGUUUGUUAAGUCAGAUGUGAAAGCCCGGGGCUCAACCUCGGAAUAUGACAUUUGAACUGGCAGACUAGAGUACUGGGUAG
rnacentral:rRNA from 1 species